UCAGGAGGGAAACUGAUCCGUUUCAAAGAGCAGCCAGACUCCGCUCUCCGUGGGGAAACCCGAGCCCCGUGUCCGGAGCGAGCGCCGUGCGUCGAACCAGGAAACGUGAAGCCAGCACUGAACGUCUCACCGGCUGCUUGCUGUUAGAAACGCGCAUGGAUAUGUGCCAUAUCAUAUUUUUAUCUUGUUUCUACUCUGUGGCACUUUGAGAUUGCUUUCAGCAAUGAAAAGGGCUCUAUAAAUAAAAUGUAUUAUUAUUUGUAUGAUUAUUCAGACCAGACCGGAUAUGACACGAGUCGUCGGCUCGUCGCAAGAGCUUCCGCUUAGGAGCCCGGCGGGCGGAAGUAACAUCUAAGUCGAUUUUUAUUGGAAAGCGUCGGUAUGUAGCGGCUCAGUGUCCAGGCCGCCAGGCUGCCUGCCAUGAAGACACGAGCCAACAAGGUGCACGAGGAAGAGGGGACCUUGUGCUGCUGCGAGUAUGUAAACAGACACGGAGAGCGCAGCCACAUAGCAGCCUGCUGCUGUGAAUGCGAGGACCUUGACGACGCCUGCGAUCGGUUUCUGAAGAAGGAGCCUCAGAAGCCAGAAUCCCUGUCGCAGGUGGCAGCAGUCGUCACAGACCGGAUCCGUGUGCCAUGGCUGUGGGGUGGAGCCCGCAAGGUCGACCUGUCCGUCAUCCCUCCUCUGAUUCUCCUUCCCGUCCUGCUGCACCUCGCCGCGCUCCACUUCCUGCUCGGCAUCGUGGCUCUGAUCGCUCUGCCCGGCCUGGUGUUGUGGUACUACUACUUCACCCACCGCAAGAAGGGGAAGACCCUCUUCUUCCUCAGUAUGGCUCUCUUCUCCCUGGCGUACAUGUACUUCUUGUUCAUCACGGAGGUGCUUCCCCGCAGGGACGUUGGCCUGGCCCAGCUUUCGGUGCUGACUGUAGGGCUCUUCCUCACCCUCGCAGCUCUUUUCCAUGCCAAGAGAGCGCCCGGUGUCUUGCUGCCGAACCAAGAGGAAGUCCACAGCACGGUGACCUAUUACAGCCCCCUGGCAGAGAGAGACCACGCCAUCAACGGCGGGCGGCAGGAUAUGACGAUGACGGCACCCAACCGGGGGGCGGGGUCGUGGGAAGAAUCGGGGGAGGAGCCGAAAGAAAGUAGCCAAAGGAACUGGUGUCCGGCGUGUAGGGCGGCGCGGCCGCCGAGGGCGGGGCACUGUCGGAUCUGUGGCAUCUGCGUUUUGCGUCUCGACCACCACUGUGUCUGGAUAAAUAACUGUGUGGGGCAGGCCAAUCACUGCAGCUUCCUACUCACACUCGUCCUCUUCCUGUUGACAUCUCUGUACGGGAUCAGUCUGGUGCUGCAGAGUGUGUGUCCGACACAACCCCUCCUCACCUCCCUGCUGUAUUGCCCCGGGGUCUACAGCCAGCACAGCACUGCACUCUGCUUCACCUGUGCCUGGUACUGCAGUGUCGUGACCGCCGGGCUGCUCCACCUGCUGGCGGCGCAGGUCAUCAACGUCAGCCACAAUGUGACCGAGCGCGAGGCGCGCCAGGCUCUGCGGGACAAGACCGCCCGCCGCGCAUACUGGGGGCUCGUCGUGGACACGGGUGCCUACUCUCUGGGUUUCCUGGGCAACUGGGCCGAGUUCAUGACCAUGGGAGACAAACUGAGUCCUGACUCUCCCGCCCGAAAAGACCUGGUGUAAGAGACUGUUAUGUUAUGCAGCACCCUGGGGGGGGGGUGGGUUAUGGCUGCAGGUCUGGUCCCAUCCACUGGAUGGCAGCAUGGCUCCUUUAACCUUGAUUUAAAUUUGCCUUCUGUUGCCAGAACUAUUUUCACUGAGUUUAUGCAGCUAUCGAGUUUUGAUUGACCUUAUCAAAUGGCAAUAACAAACCCAUAAUAAGUAACAUUCACUGCCAUUCAUGUACCCGACAACAGGCAUCUCUCCUCUAUGCAGCUAUUCCCACUACAAGGGAACCUUUAACUCCGUCCACUGCUGCCCGGUUUCCUUCCACACUGGAUGUCGUCCUUUGACUUAAACACAGUCUUUACGUUCCCUCUACAUUCCAAGUGCCUUGCUGGGAGCCGACAAACUGAUAGAGUUAGUGAUCCGUUGACCCUCAGGGGGCUUUUUCUCUCUAAUGCUUUGGUCCGUUCCGGCCGAAGCAUUAGGCUCAACAUCAAUUCAUGGCUGGUCUUCCUGCACAUUCUGCCUCCUCCAUCCUUUACAGACAUUCAUCAGCCGCGUGGUCACAGAGUUGAACACCUCUCUUGGCCCCCUCUGAAACGUGCUGCGCAUGUUUAUGUUACAGCGACGACCUCUCCCAGAGGCUUUUACAGUGGAUGUGAGCAGAAGUCGGGCAGGACCUCAGUCACUUUCCGUCCCAGCUUCUCCCGCCGCUCAUCCCUCUCCCUCUCCUUGCGCAGCGCACACGGAAGCCGCCUCCAGGCCAGGAAACAUCGCUGCAGCACCCGUCUAGAAUUCGCAGGGGCAGAUGGAGGGACAGAUGGGAGCAGAGCAAGUGAGCAAUAAGAAACUGAGUUAUAGGGACUUCUGAGUUGACAACACCUUAAUGGGUUUUCACAUGACGUUACUAUUCGGAGCUCGCAGACGGUGGCAGGAAAUUCACCUGCAGACUGUGGUCAUUUAACCGACAUCACCUUAGAAGCUGAAGUUCGAAAAAGACUCCCAUCAAGUGACAAUGACGGGCGAAUCAGAAAGUUGGAGCAGUGCUGCUGCACAGCAAUCUUUAGUUUUGGCCACAAUGGUAAACAGGACCACACAGGUAAUAGUAAUGUUAAGCAUUAUGGAAAUUACUGACAUUCCCAUCAGCCUUACUUACGCUCUCACACUAAACUAAGAUGGUAAACAUCAUACCUGCGAAACAUCAGCAUUGGUCAUUGUGAGGAUAUUCGUACGCUAAAGUUUGCAACAAGCGCAAAUCGCUGCUGUGCCGAAGUACAGCCUCAAAAAUCGGUUAACAUAGCAAAACACUCUUGGGUCUUGUUCGAACCACAUAAUAAAAUUUAUUGAGUAAGAGAUAGCCAGGAGGAGGAUUAUUGCCGCAAAAUAAAUUUUCCAUCACCUGAGGUCAGAAACCCAUUCAGUGCAGAACCAUUCUGCUUUGCUGAAUAAUUUGGCUACAUUAAACUUUUAAAUUUUUUUUACCCCAGCAGCAAAACCCAACUCCAUAAAUUCUAUCACAAAGAAACGUGCGGCUGACGGCAGAUAUGACAAGGAGAUGACGGUGUCAUUUUCAAUCUACUUGCACAGGCAGUUUUCCCAUAAAAAAGGACAAUGUGUCGGUGUGCCGUCAAAGCUCUCAUAUUUCAUAUUUUCAAAUGUCUAAUAACUGCUUAUGCAAUGCAUGUUCCAGUGCCUGCCAUUUGUCAUAAUCUGCGGUACAUACAAAUGAGGCAAAUACAGCUUAUCCAUUCAUAGUUAUUUAAGGUCCUGAAAGUCUUGGAACACUUUGUAGAAUAGGCCUUUAUUAAAAAAUGAAUGGUCUUCGUGGUGUUGUGUACUAUAAUCAGAUUGGUCUAAACUUGUAAUUAACAUUUUGACAAGCUGUUGCAUCCAUACAUACAGCGAACAUAUGGCAAAAGUGGCGGGGCAGCGAACCUGUUGUUGUGCUCCUGAGCCAGCGCCUGGCGGUCCCACUCCACCAGCCUCUGCUGGGCCACGUGGUCCAGCAGCGCCAGCAUGAACCUCCUCAGGCUGCGUUCGCGGUGGAAACGCUCCGCCUGCUCCUCCUGAAUCACCCGCCAGUCCUUCAGCUGAAAAAAACACACCACGCUCAAUAAGAGACUGGGAUAUUUCUAAUGAAGUAUAAUGCAAAUGAUUUAUCUACCUUUUUUUUUAAAGCAGCUAAUUGUCUUUCAACAACAUUCAGUAAGCAAAGGUGAGGGGGGUUGGGGAUGGCACUAGCUUAAAUCAGUAGAAAAAGGGGUUUAAGUGCUCUAUAAAUGAAAUUUAUUAUUAUUAUUAAUAAUAAUAUAAACGUUUUGGUCUCAAGACUGGGCAGCAGAAAGUGUAAUUGAGUGCACGUAGAGCAUUGGUGGGAAAGGGUAUUGCUCUUGGUCAGUGGCAGGAGACGGGGGGAGGCUGAAAUCCUGAUUGAGGUACUGUGUUUUGUGUGUGUGUGUGUGUGGUGUAUACACACUCUUUUCCAGCAGCUUAGGCUCCUCCGGAGCAGAAAGUGCCGCUGCAGUCGGUCGGCAGAAGCUUCUCUCUCAGACAGGGACUCUUGUGCAGAAUGCUGCCAGCCCAGUGUGCACCGCUUCAGGAGGAGGCGGUCGUGAUGACUCUUGGCCAGCUGGCAGGGGGAUCGAAAAGAGAAGCGUCGACGAUGAAUGCGCCUCCAAACUCAAUCACGUGUGCCAGGUAGAAAUAAUGGAAUGGCAUGAAAUUAUGAAGUGCCCAGAGGGUUUUGAAAAAAGUCUUGCUGUGAACCAUGUAUUCAGAUGACUCUCUG